rnacentral:rRNA from 1 species
ACGGCCAUACCAUGCUGAAUAUACCGGUUCUCGUUAGAUCACCGAAGUCAAGCAUCAUUGGGCGCGGUCAGUACUUGGGUGGGUGACCCCCUGGGAACACCGAGUGCCGUU